CUUCCAUGAUGAGGUUAGUACCCUUUUCAGAAGCGAUACCAAAGAGGUCUUUCUCUGCCAUGUGAGGACACAGCAAGAAGGCGGCCAUCUGCAAGCCAGGGAAAGAGUUCUCACCAGGAGCCAAAUCAGCAGACACUUUGAUCUUGGACUUCCAGUCUCCAGAACUGUGCCGGUCACCAAGUCAGCCUCAAUCUUUCCAACAGAAUCGUAGAACUCCCCUCAGUCUGGAUAAGGACAUCGAGGAAGCUAUCACUCUCCUCUUUUCUAAUUGGAUGCCUCUCUCCUCCUGCUCCAAUCUGGACUGGCUGCUCUCUCCGGUGGCAUAGCUGUCAUCCAAGAUUUCUCUCCACCACCUGAAGCUGCUGUCUCCUGGAUCCCAUGUCUCCUGUCUUCAUGGUUUUCUCCCUUGUCUCGGUAGAAGAACUCAUGUGGUAGCUUUCUGGGUACACAAGAGAUAACACUUUGGAGAUCAUUUAUUUCUGAAAAUGCCUUUAUUCCACCUUCAUCUUUGAUUGAUCGUUUGGAUAUGGAAUCAAGAUUGUACCAAACAAAUCCCAGAAUUCUCUGAGGGCUUGUUUCUUGGGAUCACUCCUGGUACUAAUUCCUAUAUCAGCCAGGAUUCAGUUGGAAAACAGAAAUCACAUUACUUAUUUUAAAGAGGGAAUUUAAUAUACAGAAGGUUAAAUGGGUGUUGGAGAACUGAAGAGGGAAAGGAGAUACGAAGGUAACACAAAGACAAUAACUGUGGGAAGCAGCUAGCAUAUGGGCAACAAGGGAAGGAGCUGGGAUCCUUCGAACCCUGAAGCUUGAAGCAGGAGCUCCAUGGUGCUAAGAUCCAGCCCUCAGGAGAAGAGGUGUUGCAGCCAGUGCUGAGAUCUCUGAGAGCAUUCCUCAAGUCUCAGUAUGUGUUGACUGGCCUUACAAAGGACGAACUGCUCAAAGGCUGAGUGGAAUAGCUGUGUGUGGGCAGGGCUCUCUGAUUGCUGGACGCCACUAUAGGAUAUUCAAGUCACUGAAGCUUACAGACGUUAAAUAACGUACCCCCAGUCAUCAUGCAAUGACUUCUAUCUGUGGGAUUCUUUCCACUAUACCAUGAACGAAAAGGGGAGGAUUUGAGGGUGACAAGGUUGGGAGGGAGGGGCUUCUCUGUGUCCUUGAAUCAAUUGUGAGAGGCUGACCUCUACUGGAUCGUACAGCACUUGAACACCAAAAGGAAGAAAUAGUUUUCCUAGCCUCAAAUGAUUUUUUCUCACAUUUUGGAGAGGAAUCUGUUUAAAAGGUAUGCCAAGUGCCUACUACUUAGAAAAUACUGGACUAAAUGCCAAGGUAAAGCAAAUAGAAAUUGAUUGGACUGUGUAAGUCACAGCAGGGAUGAAAGGCACACCUCCUACGCCCAGUGUGCUCAGCUUCACCAGGGAGGUAUCUCCAAAUAGCACAAGUUCUCUUCCAGAGGAACCGGAAGACCCAGGUCUUGAAAGAAGCAGCCCUUCUCUGGGUUUACACUCCUCAUAUUGUAUCCCAUGUUUUAUAAUAUGCACAUCUGCAUUGCGUCAUUAUUUUUGUCCCAUUGUCCAUUUGUUUUGUGCAACAUUGGUUCUUUAAGCAGCCAUGUUCACUGAGACUCACAUAAAAUGGGUCUGAGAUGUAGAGAACUGCCUCUUAUGAAUGUUUUAUUUACUUAUCUAUCAUUCUUAUCAGUGGCCUUCUCCCCUGUCUCUGGUUACCUUUUUCACUUAGCUAGCCAACUGAGAAUUAGAUGAAGGAUGGAAAUAGAUUGGCAGUUUGCCUUCAGCUGCUAGACAAGGGUUCUUUCUUUCUGUGGUUUAGUUUCACAAAGGGUUUUGUAGGCAUUGGAAGUUUUGGUACAAAGCAGCGCGGCCUAAAGGCUGCAGCCCAGAAGGGCGAGCGAGGAGGUCAGUGUCCUUGUCUUCAUGCUGCCAGCUUUGGAUGUGAUGAAGUCACUUAUAUCUCUUGUUGCCCCUUUUUUGUAUUUAGAAAAUUAUUUUGAAUUAUAGUAGAUUAUUAUGAUUUUACAUUUUAUUUGAAAAUAAGUUCUAACUUGAGAAUGUGUCUACUGGAGCUGUAAGCGCACAGCCUGGAUGGCAUCAUCUGGCAGCUCACAAUCAUGUACAAAAUCAUUCUGCAUAUAAAAGAAGCAAUUUGCCAUUAAUUUAUAAUGUUUUUAUUGUGCUUUUCUUAUUGCAAAAGUAUUUCAUGCAGAAAAUUUGAAAAAUACUGAUAAGCAACAAAUAAAUAUAUAAAAACCACUUGAAUCUUGCCACCUAAAGAUAUCCACUGAUAACAUGUUAUAUUAUUCUUUAGGCUUUUUAAAUGCAUAUUUUCACAUAGGCAGUAUUAUGCUGUUUACAAUGUUUUUUGAACUUCUUUUUCUCUCAAUAAUAUGUCUGAAUAUUUUUCCGUGUCAUACAAUCUUCUAGAAUAUCAUAUUUCAUGGUUGUGUAGUAUUUUGUCAUGUAGAUAUAUCAUAAUUUAUUUGACUGUACCUUUUUUUAGGGACAUUUAAUUUAUAUCCAACAUUUUAUCAUUUUAAAUACUUCUGUCCUAAAAAUCUUUGUUGCUAAGUCUUUGUGCGUAAUCAUACUUUAUUCUUUAGGAUCAAAGUCUAAGGGUACAAAAAAUUUAAGGGUUUUGAUAUUUGUUGCCCACUUGACCCCAAGAAAGUUGUCUCAACGUAUACUUCUGUGCAUUGAAUCGCCCCUGGGACAAUAGCAGAUGAUAGAUUAUUUUAAUGUUUUGCCAAUCUGAUAGAUUAAAAGUGUCACAUAUGUAUUUAAAUUUCCUUGAUUAUUGACAUUGAACAAUUUUUGGACUUUUACAAUAUACUUACCGAUUUUUUUUAUCUAUAAAAGCUCUUUAUUUUAAUUUGUAUGUAUUUACAUAUUUAAGUGUCUAAAGCUCUGGAGACAAACUGCCUGGGUCGAGCCCGAGCUCUGUCGGGUUUGGUUGUGCUUACAAAGGCCUACCCCCAAGACUACAGGAAAGUUAACUUCUAUUUUUUUCAGGUGCUUUUAAGUCCGAUUUUCUACAUUUCUACAUUUAAAAACCUACGAUAGUGGCCGUGCUGGUUAUUCUCCCCUUUUCCCUCCAGAUCCGCUUCCUAUCCUUUCCAGCUGCUCUGUGCCAUAAGAGACUGAGGAACGGACUGCCUCAAUGGGCUGACCUGCCUUCUGGCUUUUGGUUGGGUCCAGGCAAUGGCUAGCAGUGAAAGGAAAGGCGGAGAGUGGACUAUUAGACUAUACAGAGCGUCAUGUGCUGGGCUGGAGAGUUCGGAAUUAAUUCUAUACCUAGAGGGAGACUGAGAGGGAUUUGACGUAGGGGAGGAAGAUCAAAGAUCAAAGUGCAAAGUAGGACAGUGAAUUUGAUGGCCCUGGGAAGCCUUGAGGAAGGCUGAAGACAGGAAGCCCCAUGGGGACUGCUGAGGUUGCAGCUAUGACGCUGAACUGGCAGAUGUUGACUGUGAGUGAGGAAAAUAAUAGAGACCUGAUUUAAGACACAUUUCCAAAGAAAAUGAACUGGUCUUCGGGGUGAAUAUUUUAAGUGUAAGGAAAUGAGUAGUGACACUACUGUGGUAUCAUUUCUAGCCCUGGCGAUUGCCUUUCUUGAGUGACAUCCCUCAUGGAACUUUGCAGGGGGAUCCCACUUGGCAGCUGGUAAAGAGAACAACCCCCUGCGUCAUCAUAUUACUAAAGCCACACAAUAUUUCUGCCCUUUCUCUUUUCUCUGGUUUCCAGGCCUUGGAAUAUUAUAAUUUCUUGAAAAGUUAUACUUAAAAUAACAACGACUAACUUCAUUGAGUACCACUCCCCCUCCUUUUUUUCUUAGUACUUACAUAUUAUCUCAUUUAAUAUUCUUGUUCCUAGUUAGCCUAAAUGUUAUUGCCUCAUUUUCAACUGAAAAUGCUAGUUGGGAGGGAGCAUGGAAUAGUGAAGAGCACGGGCAGGGGUCAAGCAGAGCUGGUUCCAAGCAAAAUGGGGCAGCUCUGUAUGUAUUUCCUCCUAGAGAUUCCCUAGCCUGCUCAUGUGUUGUCCUUUGGUAACUUCCUUAUCCCCUAAAUACUUUCCUUGAAAAUCUGAUUUCAUCUGGGUAAAGUAUAUGAGAAGGUAGGAAGGAGGGAGAAUUUAAUUACUUUGAGAGAGAUGGUGGAUUUGGCUGUCUUUACUGUUGGUGUUACUUUCUCUUAGGCAUUUUUCAAAAUAAGAAUUUUGGUCUAAUAAUUUAGCAAUGGUGAUUGUGUUGACUGUUCACAAUGGAAGAGACUUCAGGUACUAUAUAAUCCAAUCUCUUCAUUUUGCCCACAAGGACACCAAAAUUCAGAUGCCCCUCUCUAUCCCCUUGGUCUGUUCAACACCGGAAGUCUUUUGGCUUCCAUUAAAUCUAUUGGUGCCUGGUAAAAGGUGACAACCCUCAUCAUGAGCCCCGGGGCACUCCUCCAGCCCGCUGGUGAUUUCUGCAUGUUGACAGCACCUAUUCAGAUUUUAUAUUUGCUUUGUUGGGUGUUGAUUUUGAUGAGGACUAGAACCUGCUGGAGGCUACGUAGGGCGCAAAGAUGAGCGCAAGUGAUCUUUGCUCAGUGGGUUCAAUAGGCGAAAUGGAGGAAGUACAGCUGUGACCUGUGGGACAACAAGGCAUGAUUUUAUCUGGAAAGGUCUCCACAAGUAGCAGAAAUUCGGCAGGAUUAACCCAUUUUCAGUAGAAAAUGCUUUCAGGACAGGAAUGCUAUUCACUUUUCCUUGGUUUUAGAUUUUCCUCUUUGUCUUUUUCUCCAUUCUCCAAGUUUUCUGUCAUGAACGUCUUACCUUGGUCUUCAGAGAAAUUUAUUUUAUAUGUAUUUAUCUGUAUCUAUAUCAUAAUUUCUAAAAGAAAUAAAAUGCCUGGAGGAAGCAGCUCUGAAAACUCUGUGGGGAAUUUUGUGGGGAAGAUUGUAAGGGAAGCCCUGAACAACAUUUCCUAAAGUGCUCAGUGGGAAGCGAUCUUGGAAAAACCCUUCCUUGGCCAAAUACACUUGGAGUGAUGUGCUCCAGCCCCUUCUUGGACACUUAUAAUGCCCAUUAAGGGCUCUGGAACUUUCUGCAGGAAAAUAAAAUAAAACAAAAC